rnacentral:rRNA from 1 species
UACGAGGGGGGCGAGCGUUGUUCGGAAUUAUUGGGCGUAAAGGGUGCGUAGGCGGUUUGGUAAGUCUUGUGUGAAAUCUACAGGCUCAACUUGUAGUCUGCACGAGAAACUGCCGGGCUUGAGUAUGGGAGAGGUGAGUGGAAUUCCUGGUGUAGCGGUGAAAUGCGUAGAUAUCAGGAGGAACACCUGUGGCGAAAGCGGCUCACUGGACCAUAACUGACGCUGAGACACGAAAGCGUGGGUAGCAAACAGG